rnacentral:rRNA from 1 species
GACGAACGCUGGCGGCGUGCUUAACACAUGCAAGUCGAACGGCAAGGCCCUGCUUUUGUGGGGUGCUCGAGUGGCGAACGGGUGAGUAACACGUGUGUAACCUGCCCUUGACUUUGGGAUAACUUCAGGAAACUGGGGUUACUACCGGAUAGGAGCUCCUGCUGCAUGGUGGGGGUUGGAAAGUCUCGGCGGUUGGGGAUGGACUCGCGGCUUUUCAGCUUGCUGGUGGGGUAGUGGCUUACCAAGUAUUUGACGGGUAGCCGGCCUGUGAGGGUGACCGGCCACAAUGGGACUGAGAGACGGCGCAGACGCCAACGUGAGGCAGCAGUGGGGAGUAUUGCACAGUGGGCGGGAGCCUGAUGCAGCGACGCCGCGUGCGGGAUGACGGCCUUCGGGUUGUAAACCGCUUUCGCCUGUGACGAAGCGUGAGUGACGGUAAUGGGUAAAGAAGCACCGGCUAACUACGUG